CGGGAGGCAGCAGUUGGGAAUUUUGGACAAUGGGCGAAAGCCUGAUCCAGCAAUGCCGCGUGAGUGAAGAAGGCCUUCGGGUUGUAAAGCUCUUUUGUCCGGAAAGAAAUCCUUGGCUCUAAUACAGUCGGGGGAUGACGGUACCGGAAGAAUAAGCACCGGCUAACUUCGUGCCAGCAGCCGCGGUAAUACGUAGGGUGCGAGCGUUAAUCGGAAUUACUGGGCGUAAAGCGUGCGCAGGCGGUUUGUUAAGUCCGAUGUGAAAUCCCCGGGCUCAACCUGGGAACUGCAUUGGUGACUGGCAUAACUAGAGUGCAGUAGAGGAGAGUGAUUCCCAGUGUAGCAGUGAAAUGCGUAGAUAUAUGGAGAACACCAGUGGCGAAGGCGGCUCUCUGGCCUGUACUGACGCUGAGC
rnacentral:rRNA from 1 species